rnacentral:lncRNA from 1 species
AUAAUUACUUGUUUCAAUCCCAGCUUAUCAUCAAUGAAAAUGAGUGUGCCUGCUUUAUUCAGAUGCACUUCCUUGUCAGGCUGCCACAUGGAGGACCAGAGUGCAACAGGAAGAGGUGUUAUCCGUCAGUGCUGAAAUGCAUCCACAAUGCGGUGAGGGAGGUUGGGUGCGGUGGAGUGUUACAAGGUUCAAAUCAGGAGGAGGUUUAUCAGUAAGGCUGAGGGGUGGUCGCAUAUCUGUGGAUCCCUCAAGUCGGAUCACAGCUUGUUCCACUUCUCCAAGGAGCUCAAAGAAAUAG